UACAGAGGUGGCGAGCGUUGUCCGGAAUUAUUGGGCGUAAAGGGCUCGUAGGCGGUUUGUCGCGUCGGGAGUGAAAACCUCGGGCUUAACUCGGGGCUUGCUUUCGAUACGGGCAGACUGGAGGUAUGCAGGGGAGAACGGAAUUCCUGGUGUAGCGGUGAAAUGCGCAGAUAUCAGGAGGAACACCGGUGGCGAAGGCGGUUCUCUGGGCAUGACCUGACGCUGAGGAGCGAAAGUGUGGGGAGCGAACAGG
rnacentral:rRNA from 1 species